AAGUCGUAACAAGGUUACCGUAGGUGAACCUGCGGUAGGAUCAUUAACAAAUCCGAGUGGGGCUCCGGCCCUGCAUCAGUUCCGGCGGCGAUGCGCUGUGGCGUUCGCUGCCGUGUUCAACCAACCCCGUGCUCUGCACAAGUAUGUAAGUCUGACAAAAUGAAAAAAAAGUGGGAACAACAAAACAACUUUCAACAAUGGAUCUCUGGGCUCUU
rnacentral:misc_RNA from 1 species